AACGAACGCUGGCGGCAUGCCUAACACAUGCAAGUCGAACGAUGCCUUCGGGCAUAGUGGCGCACGGGUGCGUAACGCGUGGGAAUCUGCCUUUCGGUUCGGAAUAACUCAGGGAAACUUGAGCUAAUACCGGAUAACGUCGCAAGACCAAAGAUUUAUCACCGAAAGAUGAGCCCGCGUAGGAUUAGCUAGUUGGUGAGGUAAAGGCUCACCAAGGCGACGAUCCUUAGCUGGUCUGAGAGGAUGAUCAGCCACACUGGGACUGAGACACGGCCCAGACUCCUACGGGAGGAAGCAGUGGGGAAUAUUGGACAAUGGGCGAAAGCCUGAUCCAGAAAUGCCGCGUGAGUGAUGAAGGCCUUAGGGUUGUAAAGCUCUUUUACCCGGGAAGAUAAUGACGGUACCGGGAGAAUAAGCCCCGGCUAACUCCGUG
rnacentral:rRNA from 1 species